rnacentral:rRNA from 1 species
GCUUGACUGUAGCUUGUAAUUGGGUUCGGGCUUUUUUUGCGCAGCCUAGGUGGGAGGCAACGAUGAUUUUUUUCCGGAAAAAUUUGAGCCGUUAGUGAGAGACCACUCUGAAAAGGCUAGAAUCCUAAUAAUGAUCCUUGAAUCAGGACAUUUGGACAGUUGCAGGUGGGCAGUUUUACUGGGGCGGUAUUCUCCUAAAAAGUAACGGAGGGGUGCAAAGGUUCCCUCAAGCUGGACGGAAAUCAGCUUAAGAGUGUAAAGGCAAAAGGGAGCUUGACUGCAAGACCUACAAGUCGAGCAGGGGCGAAAGCCGGCCUUAGUGAUCCGACGGUACCACGUGGAAGGGCCGUCGCUCAACGGAUAAAAGUUA